rnacentral:rRNA from 1 species
UACAGAGGUCUCAAGCGUUGUUCGGAUUCAUUGGGCGUAAAGGGUGCGUAGGCGGCGCGGUAAGUCGGAUGUGAAAUCUCGGAGCUUAACUUCGAAACUGCAUUCGAUACUGCCGUGCUUGAGGACUGGAGAGGAGACUGGAAUUUACGGUGUAGCAGUGAAAUGCGUAGAGAUCGUAAGGAAGACCAGUGGCGAAGGCGGGUCUCUGGACAGUUCCUGACACUGAGGCACGAAGGCCAGGGGAGCAAACGGG